CCUUCAAGAGACAAACGUGGGAGAGGGAGAGAUAAGAGAGAUUGUGCUCAAUCAAAGAAUUUGCUAGGAAUUGAAGGAAUUGAACUUAGAACAACAAGAAUCAAGCUUCUAGCUCUCACAUUGACAUGCUAAGGUCACGCGCCACAAGAUAUCUAAAUUGCCUACUCUGUCCGUAUACUUGAAGCCAUUUGUUAUAUCUUCGGAGCCAUCCCCAUCUUUGCUUUCACCUGAGGCUUCUCCGAGUCCAUUGGUUGCUGCUAGCCCAGGCCAGCUCUCCUUGAGUCCGCAUCUUAACGAAACACACCAUCUCUUUCAUCUCACAUUAAUUCCAUGUCUGGGUAUAGCAGUUACAGCAGUUGCAGUUGUGUCGCUGGUAGUCUUGAUAUUUUUGAUUCGUAGGAAAAGAAGAGAGCUAGAGGAUUCUGAGACCAUUGAUAAGUCCUCUUCAAAAGGCUACACUCAACCUCCAAGAAAAUUUCUGGAAGGUAGAAUUCUCGUUUCUUUCUUGUUACGUGGUCUCGACUUUAGCAUAUAAAAGUUGUAACCUUUUUUUUUUGGGUCUUAUCCUUGUCUCUGCCAUUUUGAUUUUCCUUCUCUUUCAUUUUUUUUUUAAAUUUUAAUUUGGGGGGGGGGGGGGG